rnacentral:rRNA from 1 species
GUGAACGCUGGCGGUAGGCCUAACACCUGCAAGUCGAACGGCAGCACAGUAAGAGCUUGCUCUUACGGGUGGCGAGUGGCGGACGGGUGAGGAAUACAUCGGAAUCUACUUUUUCGUGGGGGAUAACGUAGGGAAACUUACGCUAAUACCGCAUACGACCUACGGGUGAAAGCAGGGGAUCUUCGGACCUUGCGCGAUUGAAUGAGCCGAUGUCGGAUUAGCUAGUUGGCGGGGUAAAGGCCCACCAAGGCGACGAUCCAUAGCUGGUCUGAGAGGAUGAUCAGCCACACUGGAACUGAGACACGGUCCAGACUCCUACGGGAGGCAGCAGUGGGGAAUAUUGGACAAUGGGCGCAAGCCUGAUCCAGCCAUACCGCGUGGGUGAAGAAGGCCUUCGGGUUGUAAAGCCCUUUUGUUGGGAAAGAAAAGCAGCAGGUUAAUACCCCGCUGUUCUGACGGUACCCAAAGAAUAAGCACCGGCUAACUUCGUG